UUCAAACUCAGUAACCAUGAAAGAACAGUCUGAAAAAUUUGAUCACACACACAGAAUUUAAAGCAAAAGAAAAUCUGAAUGGAUUAAGGGAGGGGAAAUAAAUUGGAAAAAAUUUUGUAACAUUUAUUAUUAUAUUACUAUUGUAUUUAUUUUGCAUAGAGGGCCUAUGAUGUAGAGCAAAGGUCCCCAAACCCCAGGACAGGAACUUGUACUGAUCUGUGGCCUAUGAUAUUAGGAACUGGGCUGCAGAGCAGGAGAUUCUCAUAGGAAUGUGAACUCUACUGUGAACUGUGUAUCCCAGAGAUCAAAAUUGCACACUCCUUAUGCGAAUCUGAUGCUUGAUGAUCUGAGGUGGAGCUGAAAAAGUUAUGCUAGCACUGGAUUGUGCCUGAAAAUACAGAAUAACCUUAGUCUGACUGAACAGAUAAUCAUAAUAAAUUAAUUGCUUGAAGAUGUAUCGAAGUCCGAUCAGUGAAUGGCAAGUGACAAGCUGAAUAUGGUAGCAGGAUUUAUAGUGGUAAAUGAGUUGAUGUACUUCAGUUACAGAGCUGCAUCUGGUGGUAGGCUUUAAGUCAGAAUAUAACACCUGUUUUAGUCUGCACAUUGCCUGACAUUAGUCUGAACAGAUAAUCAUAAUAAAUUAAUUGUUUGAAGAUGUGUCAAAAUCCUAUCAGUGAGUGGCAAGUGACAAGCGGAAUAUGGUAGCAGGAUUUAUAGUGGUAAAUGAGUUGAUGUGCUUCAGUUACAGAGCUGCAUCUGGUGGUAGGCUUUAAGUCAGAAUAUAACACCUGUUUUAGUCUGCACAUUGCCUGCUCAUUAUUUUAUUUACCAUUUCUGUCUGAGUUUCUUUUCUGAACUAUGUACUUAGUGACAGUUUUGGAAAUCUCACAAGCUAAAUGUAGUUAAAAUGAGUGAAGAAAAAAAUGUCACUAGGAGUUUCUUUGAAUAGGGGGAAAGGCCAACUGAUGAGGUAGGAAGAGAGUCUAAGACUAUCAACAAAAAGCUGCUCUUAAAAGAAAAUACUAUGAGUCUUCCUUAAAUUAUGAAUUCAUGGCAACAGGUGAUUCACAUUCUCUAAUCCUACUUUUUAAAAUGUGUGUUGACCAGCCAUCCAACAAAGCCAUGAAAACUGUAAUACUUCCACAUGGAGACCAAGCACUCUACAUUGAAAGACAAGCCUGUGGAGUUUCUCCAAAAGAAUAAAAAAACCCCAUAAACAUGAAGAACAGAAGCAAAUAUUGAAGGCCAGCAUUUCAUGUGUGCACUGAGACCAUGUUUUUUGGUCACUAAUUGUAUACUGGAACCAAGAAGCUCUUUACCAUUGGUGAAGAGUUAAUCCUGCCUUCAGCUAAAGACAUUUGUCUUGUGCUUUUAGGUGAGGCUGCAGUUCAAAAGAUGGCUCCUCUUUUGGCUAGUCCCAUAACUAGAUGAAUUAAUGAAAAAGCAGAGGAUACUGAGGCACAAUUGUUCGAGGGGAUUAAUGAGUCACUGUGGUACACAGUCCAUGCUGAUGAAUCUGCCAUGUUGACAACAGGCAACAAUGCUUGAUUUUGUUUGACAUUUUUCAGGAGGACGUGCAUGAGGAUAUGUUAUGUGCACUUUUAUUACCAACAAACAACUGCAGAAAUUUUCAAGUCUUUGAAUGAUUACAUUUCAGUAAAACUAAAUUGGUCACUUUGUGUCAGUAUAUGCAUGGACGAAGGAGCUGCCAUGACAGGACAGCUUUCUCUUUCACUACUUGGGUCAAAGAGGUUGCUUCUGAACAUGAGUCUACACACUGUGUCAUCCAUACAGAAAUGCUGCCUAGCUGAAAAGUGUCACCUGAACUUAACAAUGUUUUGCAGGAUGUAAUUAAUCUUAUCAACCGUAUUAAAGUACAUGUCCUUGUGAAGCUCUAUGAG
ensembl:lncRNA